UACGGAGGGGGCUAGCGUUGUUCGGAAUUACUGGGCGUAAAGCGCACGUAGGCGGCUUUGUAAGUUAGAGGUGAAAGCCCAGGGCUUAACCCUGGAAUUGCCUUUAAGACUGCAUCGCUAGAAUCGUGGAGAGGUGAGUGGAAUUCCGAGUGUAGAGGUGAAAUUCGUAGAUAUUGGGAAGAACACCGGUGGCGAAGGCGGCGAUCUGGGUCGAUACUGACGCUGAGGUGCGAAAGCGUGGGGAGCAAACAGG
rnacentral:rRNA from 1 species